GACUUGAAGGCAUUAAGUAAAAUGUCCAUAUCCAUUCAUGUAAUGCAUAAUGGAGCUGGGAUUUGAACUCAUGUCUCUGGUCCUUGUCCACUGCACUGUGAUAUUGGGGUAAAGAAGAAGACAAAUGUAAGAGCUGCUGUUGAUUGACUAAGUCUGGGGACCGAGGAGAAGCAUACAGUAGCAUUGACGACUCUGAAGUUCGGAGCUGGAAUCACACAAAUGGAUACUUCUGCACUUGCUGUCUGGGGUCCUGAGGGAUAACCAGAUAUAAUUAGCUACAGUCGGUCCUGGAGACUACAACCUGAAUCCCAGAGCAGGGGCAGCGGUGAAGAGGUGGAUUAGCAAGAACACCAUAUUAAGGCAUUGAAUUUGCUAGCAGAUAGGGCUAGAAUCCAGGAAGAUGAACCUGUGCUUCCUCACUAUGCACAAUCAACAGAUAUUCACACUAAUGUCAUUUCCUACAUGCAACACCAAGAGGAGAGAUAGUGACAGAUGUCACAGAAAAUGGCCCAUUUAUUCACUGAGGAUCAACCAACGAGUGACUUCCUGUGAGGACCUGGGCAGGACAUCUGGAGAAUCCAUCGUGUUACAGAGGUAGACAAGCUGGCAUAAUCUAGAAGAAUGGCCAAUGUCAAUCAAACUCCAGCAAUAACACAGUGAACAUGAUUGAACCAGAAGGAAAAUGAGAAAGUUCGGUGGGGGGAACACAAGGCUGCUUGGAACCAACCUGGGAUUGCUAUGUGUUGAAGACCAAGAAGAUGAGCUGCUGGUCCCCUAUAAGCCACAGCUCCUGGUCUGAGUCAACCACUCCCUUGCAUGACCUCCAGAUUCGGCCCAGCUGUUCUUAAGCAUCAAAGAGGAGGAAGUCAGAGAGAAACAAUUGAAUAUUCAGUGUCUUUAAACACAGGCCCAUG
rnacentral:lncRNA from 1 species